GGUGGUCUGUCUACUUAUAAAUCUUCUGCAGUAUCCCUUUUUUCUAUACAUAUAAGAAACAAAUAUCUCAGUGCUGAUUGUCAAGGGAAGAGGUAAGUCUCUUUUGCUUCGAUUUUCGGGUGUAGCGAAGGUUCAUUUCUGACAACAUAUCUUGGACUACCAUUAUGUAUAGGAAAGCCAACCAAACAUCUAUAGGAUAAAUUUAUCGAAAGAUUUCAAAGUAAGCUAUCAGUUUGCGAAAGUAGGCACUUAUCUUUGGGAGCAAGAUUAACGCUGAUUAAUGCGGCAAUGUCAAAUUUACCGGUACACUAUAUGUCGUUAUUCAAGUGCCCAAAGGGGGUAGUCGAUAAGCUUGAAAAGAUUAGGAGGGAUGGGGUGGAAGAUAAGCAUAAGUUUCAUCUUAUGAAGUGGGAAGAAGCAUGCAAAUCUUGGGAUCAAGGAGGAGCUGGGUUGACGGUUUUGGGAGAGAUGAAUUUGGCGCUAUUGGGUAAAAAUGGGUAUGAAGAUUUGGGGUCGAAGAGGGUAGCUCAUGGAGGGAGGUUAUGAGUAGGAAAUAUGGGGUUCAAGAGGGAUCUUGGUGGAUAAAGACAUUAUCAUUGUAUAGAGCAUCGUCCCUUUGGAAAGUGGUGGCCUCUUUAAAGGACAAGGUUUGGGAAGGAGUGGGGUUUACUUUGGGAAAUGGUGAGGGGAUAAGGUUUUGGGAAGAUGUUUGGCUUGGGGAAAAAGUUGAGGGAGAGUAUUCCCCUUCUAGCAAGGUUAUCAUUGGAGGGAAACUUGCCUGCGGCAAGAUGUUAUUCCCUCCUUGGUGAGGAAGUUAUUUGAGCCCCUGCUUAUAGGAGGAACUUGUAUGAAGAAGAGUUGAAGGAGUAUUUAAGAUUAUUGGAAGUGUUGAGUAAGGUUUGCCUGGUGAUUUCUCAAAGGGACUCGAUGAGAUGGUUAGAAGAAAAGUCUAGGUUUUCAGUAAAAAAGGUGAGGGAGAGUUUUCCCCUUCUAGCAAAGUUAUCAGUGGAGGGAAAUUUGCUUGUGGCGAGAUGUUAUUCUCUUUUUGGUGAGGAAGUUAUUUGGGCCCCUCCUUAUAGGAGGAACUUGUAUAAAGAAGAGUUGGAGGAGUAUUUGAGAUUAUCGGAAGUGUUGAGUAAGGUUUGCCCAGUGAUAUCUCAAAGGGACUCGAUGAGAUGGUGAAAAAAAGUCUAGAAGGUUUAAAGUCAAAUCUUUGUACCAAAGGAUUAGUAGUGUUUUAAAUGCUUCCAAGGUGAGUCACAGUUUAUUUAUGGCGAUAUGAUGCUCCCCCGAAGGUAGCCACUUUGGCUUGGUUAGUGGGAAGGAAUAGAGUGCUUACGGUCGACAAUUUGUGUGAGAGAAGAAUGGCCCUUCCAAAUGUGUCUAUUCUGUUAUCAAGAUGAGGAAUCGGUGGCUCAUCUCUUCUUUCAUUUCGACUUUGCCAAGAAGGUGUGGGAUACUUUUCUUGGUAAAUUUGGAGCUCAAUGGGUUAUGCCGGCUUCUAUUGUUUUCUUUUUGUCUUGGCAUAAAUGGGGCAAAGGAAAGGUAGGAAAGAAGAUAUGGCGUCUUUGUCUUUUGGCCGGGAUUUGGGUAAUAUGGCAGGAAGGAACAAUCGGUGAUUUAGGAAUCGUAUACGUCUUUCUUUGGAAGCCUGCAAGUCGGCGUUAAAACUGGUUUCGGAAUGGGUGAUUGAAUCCAAAAUGAUAGUGGCGGAUCAAUUUCCUGAUAGUUGGGUAGCUUUGUAGCUUUUGGUUUUCCUUUUUCUUUUCUUUUCUUUUUUCUUGUAUUCUUUAGGCUUUUGGCCUCUUUGAAAUAAAUUCAUCAUCGUUAAAAAAAAAAAAAAAA